UAUAACAUGGAUAGUAGAUCAACUGGAUGGUAACAAUUAUGAUCUAGUGUGCAUGUCGUAGAAACUCCCUAAUUCCUUCCCUUGUUUUUAAUUCAAGGGACCAUUCAGAAACUUGCAUCUAAUCCUUGAAUGUGCAACAAUAUCUUCUGAAUAUUUUGACAGUCCCUUAAAGGAAAUCUGUAGACUUGUUUCUCGCAUCCAGAUAAUAUAAAGAUAAAAAAAAUUGAUAUUUACAUUUUAAAAACUCAUUACUUUUGAUUGUAAUUGUACAUUUCAUUAUUAGUAACGCUGCCUUCUAGGUUUAAUGGUGAUUGCGAUAUUCAAUUUUUUCUGGACAUCUAGUUUUUGAAAAAAUUACAAUUUGUGGCUGAAAGACUCAUUUUAGAUAUAGUGUAAUACAUGAAGUCUCACUAAAAUCGAUUAAGGAAUCGAAAUAUACAAUAAUAUACAGGGGGUUCUAUUAAAAAAAUUAGCGUUGAUAUAAAUCGCCCUGUAUAACAAUUGCAAUUUCGUUAAAAAUAUUCUUAGGUUAUAGCCUUAAGACUGCUUCAACAUGCCCCAGCAAUUAAUGUUAACUAUAUGCGUUAACCCGCAAUCUUUCACCCAUAGGUACACCCUGUAGAUGGGAGGGAUGUCGGGUGAAGGUAUUACAUAAAAUUUGUAUUAAAUAAGUUUAAUAGAGAUAUUUUUAAUUUUUUAAUAUACGGGGAUAUUACCAGUGGAUUUAUCCAAGUAUCAAAUAUUGGUGAUUAAGAAUUUUUUUAGUUUUAUAAUUUUCUCUUUGGAAGUACCCUUCUGUGACACUCCAUUUUCGAGAUAUCAACACAUGCAGUUUUGACCCCACCAAUGGAUGCAUUUUUGAGUUAUUUACACUUGAAGCUUUGAUCCCACCGACGGAUGCGUCUCAUCGACGGCUUUCUCUUUAAAGAUCACGCCGCCAAUAAGAAAAGUAGUUCUACACAUGCGUGCAACGUAUCCGCCUUUGGACAUGUUUGCCGUAAGCAAUUGACUUGCUUCUAAGAGGCGGUGCUGCUGAAAAUUCAAAAAAUCACUCCACAAGUAAGAAGGUUGAUUCAGUAAAUUUUUAAUUUUUUUAAUUUGUUGCCAAAAGUUCAAAGACUAAAUUUUCCAAGAUGGCGGCCAAUAUUGCGUUUUUUACAUAAAAACUACUGUAAGAUAUGUCUACAUACGAGGCCUGUUUUUUAAGUAAGGAUCGUUUUGAAAGUUCUUCUCUGCAAAGUUACGGAUGGUGUCUCGCGCAUGCGCAUCACAUGUUUACAUCUGUUGGUAAGUGAGCCGCCAUUAUGGAUCCAUUCGAUAGUGUUAAGGGUUGUUUACAAGUGUUUAAAAUGUCGCCUCCAAUUGCAAGUGCCGCCAACUGUGAAGUACGCGGUGAUUUAUGACCUUAGCAUUAAGAAAACAUAUCA